rnacentral:rRNA from 1 species
AAAUUGAAGAGUUUGAUCAUGGCUCAGAUUGAACGCUGGCGGCAGGCCUAACACAUGCAAGUCGAACGGUAACAGGAAGCAGCUUGCUGCUUCGCUGACGAGUGGCGGACGGGUGAGUAAUGUCUGGGAAACUGCCUGAUGGAGGGGGAUAACUACUGGAAAUGGUAGCUAAUACCGCAUAACGUCGCAAGACCAAAGAGGGGGACCUUCGGGCCUCUUGCCAUCGGAUGUGCCCAGAUGGGAUUAGCUAGUAGGUGGGGUAACGGCUCACC